rnacentral:rRNA from 1 species
AGGCACUGCUAUCGGGGUUCGAUUAAGCCAUGCGAGUCGAGAGGUGCAAGACCUCGGCGCACUGCUCAGUAACACGUGGAUAACCUACCCUCAGGAGGGGGAUAACCCCGGGAAACUGGGGAUAAUACCCCAUAGAUCAGGGAUGCUGGAAUGCCUCCUGAUCCAAAGGUCCGCCGCCUGAGGAUGGGUCUGCGGCCGAUUAGGUUGUUGUUGGGGUAACGGCCCAACAAGCCUUUGAUCGGUACGGGUUGUGAGAGCAAGAGCCCGGAGAUGGAUUCUGAGACACGAAUCCAGGCCCUACGGGGCGCAGCAGGCGCGAAAACUUUACAAUGCGAGAAAUCGUGAUAAGGGAACCCCGAGUGCCCGUAAAUUCGGGCUGUCCAUCAGUGUAAAUAACUGGUGAAGAAAGGGCCGGGCAAGACCGGUGCCAGCCGCCGCGGUGAUACCGGCGGCUCGAGUGGUGGCCACUAUUACUGGGCUUAAAGCGUCCGUAGCUGGAUUGUUAAGUCUCUUGGGAAAUCCACCGGCUCAACCGAUGGGCGUUCAGGAGAAACUGGCAAUCUAGGGACCGGGAGAGGUGAGAGGUACUCCAGGGGUAGGAGUGAAAUCCUGUAAUCCUUGGGGGACCACCUGUGGCGAAGGCGUCUCACUAGAACGGCUCCGACAGUGAGGGACGAAAGCUGGGGGAGCAAACCGGAUUAGAUACCCGGGUAGUCCCAGCUGUAAACGAUGCGCGUUAGGUGUAUCGGUGACCACGAGUCAUCGAGGUGCCGAAGGGAAACCGUGAAACGUGCCGCCUGGGAAGUACGGUCGCAAGGCUGAAACUUAAAGGAAUUGGCGGGGGAGCA